UACGGGGGGAGCAAGCGUUGUUCGGAUUUACUGGGCGUAAAGGGCGCGUAGGCGGUCACUACAAGUCAGUUGUGAAAUCCCCGGGCUCAACCUGGGAACUGCAUUUGUGACUGCAUGGCUUGAGUGCGGCAGAGGGGGAUGGAAUUCCGCGUGUAGCAGUGAAAUGCGUAGAUAUGCGGAGGAACACCGAUGGCGAAGGCAAUCCCCUGGGCCUGCACUGACGCUCAUGCACGAAAGCGUGGGGAGCAAACAGG
rnacentral:rRNA from 1 species